rnacentral:rRNA from 1 species
AUUGAACGCUGGCGGCAGGCCUAACACAUGCAAGUCGAACGAGUGGCGGACGGGUGAGUAAUGUCUGGGAAACUGCCCGAUGGAGGGGGAUAAAUAAUGGAAACGGUAGCUAAUACCGCAUACAAUCGGAUGUGCCCAGAUGGGAUUAACUAGUGGGUGGGGUAAAGGCUCCCCUAGGCGACGAUCCCUAGCUGGUCUGAGAGGAUGACCAGCCACACGUGAACUGAGACACGGUCCAGACUCCUACGGGAGGCAGCAGUGGGGAAUAUUUCACAAUGGGCUCAAGCCUGAUGCCGCCAUGCCGCGUGUAUUAAGAAGGCCUUCGGGUUGUAAAGUACUUUCAGCGAGGAGGCGUUACUCGCAGAAGAAGCACCGGCUAACUCCGUGCCAGCAGCCGCGGUAAUUC